AUCGCUUCCCGGCGUUUUGGCUGGGAUCAUGUGUAGCAUCUGUUCUUGUCAGCUUAAUAUCUGGCAUGCUGGGAAUUGCCUGGCACCAAUAUUAAACUGAUUUUCUACUUCCCGAGGUUACACCGAAGCUCGCUUCAGUUAACUAACGGAUUGUCCCAGUCUUACACUACCAUCGGGUACAGUCCACCUGAA